rnacentral:rRNA from 1 species
AGGGUUCGAUUCUGGCUCAGGAUGAACGCUAGCUACAGGCUUAACACAUGCAAGUCGAGGGGCAGCAUUGGAGUAGCAAUACUCAGAUGGCGACCGGCGCACGGGUGAGUAACACGUAUCCAACCUGCCGCUUACUCGGGGAUAGCCUUUCGAAAGAAAGAUUAAUACCCGAUGGUAUAAAGAGUUCGCAUGUUCUCUUUAUUAAAGAAUUUCGGUAAGCGAUGGGGAUGCGUUCCAUUAGAUUGUUGGCGGGGUAACGGCCCACCAAGUCUACGAUGGAUAGGGGUUCUGAGAGGAAGGUCCCCCACAUUGGAACUGAGACACGGUCCAAACUCCUACGGGAGGCAGCAGUGAGGAAUAUUGGUCAAUGGACGAGAGUCUGAACCAGCCAAAGUAGCGUGAAGGAUGACUGCCCUAUGGGUUGUAAACUUCUUUUAUAAGGGAAUAAAGUGAGGGACGUGUCCCUUUUUGUAUGUACCUUAUGAAUAAGGAUCGGCUAACUCCGUGCCAGCCGCGGC